CCGAGUGAGGACCUAACCGGUCCAACCUCCCACCCGUGUCUAUCGUACCUUGUUGCUUCGGCGGGCCCGCCAUUCGUGGCCGCCGGGGGGCAUCUCGCCCCCGGGCCCGCGCCCGCCGGAGACACCAACACGAACACUGUCUGAAGGUUGCAGUCUGAGUCGAUUUAUUUAAUCGUUA
rnacentral:misc_RNA from 1 species